rnacentral:rRNA from 1 species
GACGAACGCUGGCGGCGUGCUUAACACAUGCAAGUCGAACGGUGAAGGGACUGGUUUUGCUGGUCCUGGAUGAGUGGCGAACGGGUGAGUAACACGUGAGUAACCUGCCCCCUUCUUCUGGAUAACCGCAUGAAAGUGUGGCUAAUACGGGAUAUUCUGGGUCUGUCGCAUGGUGGGCCUGGGAAAGAUUGCGCCUUUUUUGGUGUUUUUGUUGGGGGAUGGGCUCGCGGCCUAUCAGCUUGUUGGUGGGGUGAUGGCCUACCAAGGCGGUGACGGGUAGCCGGCCUGAGAGGGUGGACGGUCACACUGGGACUGAGACACGGCCCAGACUCCUACGGGAGGCAGCAGUGGGGAAUAUUGCACAAUGGGCGAAAGCCUGAUGCAGCGACGCCGCGUGAGGGAUGGAGGCCUUCGGGUUGUGAACCUCUUUCGCCAGUGAAGCAGGCCUGCCUCUUUUUGUGGGUGGGUUGACGGUAGCUGGAUAAGAAGCGCCGGCUAACUACGUG